rnacentral:rRNA from 1 species
GUGGGGAAUCUUGCGCAAUGGGCGAAAGCCUGACGCAGCGACGCCGCGUGAGCGAUGACGGCCUUCGGGUUGUAAAGCUCUGUGGGGAGAGAAGAAUAAGGGUUGGCUAACAUCCAGCUCGAUGACGGUAUCUCCUUAGCAAGCACCGGCUAACUCUGUGCCAGCAGCCGCGGUAAGACAGAGGGUGCAAACGUUGUUCGGAAUCACUGGGCGUAAAGCGCGUGUAGGCGGUCCUGCAAGUCGGAUGUGAAAUCCCACGGCUCAACCAUGGAAGUGCAUUCGAAACUGCUUGACUAGAGUCCUGGAGAGGAAGGUGGAAUACUCGGUGUAGAGGUGAAAUUCGUAGAUAUCGAGUGGAACAUCGGUGGCGAAGGCGGCCUUCUGGACAGUGACUGACGCUGAAACGCGAAAGCGUGGGGAGCAAACAGGAUUAGAAACCCCAGUAGUCC